rnacentral:rRNA from 2 species
UACGAAGGGAGCAAGCGUUGUCCGGAUUUAUUGGGCGUAAAGAGCGUGUAGGCGGCCAGACAGGUCCGUUGUGAAAACUGGAGGCUUAACCUCCAGACGUCGAUGGAAACCGUCUGGCUAGAGUCCGGAAGAGGAGAGUGGAAUUCCUGGUGUAGCGGUGAAAUGCGCAGAUAUCAGGAAGAACACCCGUGGCUAAGGCGGCUCUCUAGUACGGUACUGACGCUGAGACGCGAAAGCGUGGGGAGCGAACAGG